rnacentral:rRNA from 1 species
UACGUAGGGUGCAAGCGUUGUCCGGAAUUACUGGGCGUAAAGCGUGCGCAGGCGGUUCGGAAAGAAAGGUGUGAAAUCCCAGGGCUUAACCUUGGAACGGCACUUUUAACUCCCGAGCUAGAGUAUGUCAGAGGGGGGUAGAAUUCCACGUGUAGCAGUGAAAUGCGUAGAGAUGUGGAGGAAUACCGAUGGCGAAGGCAGCCCCCUGGGAUAAUACUGACGCUCAUGCACGAAAGCGUGGGGAGCAAACAGG